UACGGAGGGUGCAAGCGUUAAUCGGAAUUACUGGGCGUAAAGCGUGCGCAGGCGGUUUGUUAAGUCCGCUGUGAAAUCCCCGAGCUCAACUUGGGAAUUGCAGUGGAUACUGGCAAGCUGGAGUAUGGUAGAGGAAGGUGGAAUUCCCGGUGUAGCAGUGAAAUGCGUAGAGAUCGGGAGGAGCACCAGUGGCGAAGGCGGCCUUCUGGACCAAUACUGACGCUCAUGCACGAAAGCGUGGGGAGCAAACAGG
rnacentral:rRNA from 1 species